rnacentral:misc_RNA from 1 species
GAAAACCAGACUAUUAGUAUUUAGGGUUUUAGCGAUGGCCUCUAUAAAGAGGCGGCGAGCCAGAAGGAGAUUCAGCGCACCGCACGGCAGUCUACUGAGGGUGAAGGGGGGUUCUUCGCUUUCAAAUUACUCUCUUCUCUGUCAAUUCUCUUUCUCUUAUCUUUUGCGUUUGGCCUCCCUUUAUAGAAGAAAGGAUCGUCAAUCAAAUGAUGAGAAAAAACUGCAACAAUAUGAUGGAUUCUUUCCAUGAUUCAUGGUAUUUAAGUCUCUGAUGAUUGAUUCUUUUUAGUCUCUCAUUAUUUCAUCGAGGUUUUUCCCCAUUUCUUUGGGUCAGUGAAAUGCUUUAUUUAUUUAUUUAAAAAAAAAUAGAGAAAUUUUUGAGAUAUGAUGAGUAAUUUUAAUUGGUCCGUGUUUCUGAUUUAAUCGUGACUGAUACCCAUUUAGCACACUCUGAUCUCUUAUUUCUUUUUAAAUUAUUUUUCCAUUUGGGAAAAUUCCUUUUUUUUUUCCUUUUGAUUUUCUUGGACAAAUUAAUGAGCUCUGUGAUUAUAUGCCCAGAUUUGGGGGCGUAUACGCUAUUCUGAUUAAAACGUGAGCAGAUAUCUGAAGAAAAUGAGAGCUAUUUUCAUUGUAUUUACAUUUUUUGGGAUUUUUUUAAUUAGUUUUAAUAAUUCGAAGAUAUAUUCAAGCUUCUGCAAUGAUGAAUUUAUGAAACAAUUCACAUGUCAGACUUCAGAGAUUAUUCAAUCAGUGAGAAGGAAAUUCAUAUUUCUGAGCAGAGUUGAAAUUAUUUUCGAUUUCUUGUUCUACAGAGCUAAUUUCUAAGCUGUCUUUGGGGAUGAGAAAUUGCUGGCGUUUAAAUGCUUUCCACUGAGGAAUUCCUUGUAUUCUAUAGAAGAAUCAUUAAGCCCAAGGCUCUGUUAAUUAUUUUAAAAGUUCUUAUAAUCGAAACAUAUUAAAUUUAAUUUUAAA